UCUGAGGAUCCCCGAGAGGACCGGUUUGUUCAGGGCCCCCUGAGGUUCGUGGUCGGGAGCGACUUUCAAGGGCUGGGGGGUGCUGGGCAGGCCUGAGAGGAUCUGACGGUUGGAGAGAUGACUUUUGGGGACCUGAAGGUUGGCGGGGGGGGGGCAGGAGGGUCCGACCAUCCAGGUGGCCCAGACCAUCCAGUUAGGGUUGGGAUGGGCGGCCCCACAGAUAUGGGGGUGCCUGGAGAGGGGUGCUGGGGGGCCCCGAGAGCGGCUCACCCUGGCAGCCCGCGACGAGUAGGGGUCCUCGAAGAGCGCCCACACACGGGGCUGCCAGCGGCGCCACCACGUGCCGCCCGCGCCGCCCGCGCCCCCUGGCGGGCCCCGGCGCCGCCGCCCGAGUCCUGGAAGCAGAGGCGCUUGAGCUCGCCGCCCGCGCCAUCCAGGCCGCCGCCGCCCGCGCCCGCCUCGUCGUCCAGGCCCGUGUCGUGCGCUCCCGCGGCAGCGGCAUUGGCGGCGCCCGCAGGGUCCGGGGCCUCGAAGGAGUCGAGCGCCUCCUCCGCGUCGCGGUGCUGCCGGUAGGUCAUCCAGCAGCAGGCCUCCACGUCGGUCUCGUCGAUGCCCCAGAAGCCCAGCUCCUCCUCGAAGAGCGGCCCGCACACGUCGGCCGGGCAGUGCAGCUUGCCCGUGCGGUAGUAGUUGAGCACGUAGGCGAAGACGCCCGGGUGCCGGUCGAAGAAGAACUCGUCUGCGCCGGGGUCGUAGUCGAAGCGCGCGGCCGCCUCGGGCUCCGUCAGGCCGGCCAGCCGCGUACCCGGCAGGGUGCGCAGCGUCGAGCGGUACGUCUCAUGGCGCACGCCGCCCACGUUGAUCACGAUCUUGCCGCUGUCGCCACCGCCGCCGCCGUGCCGCCCCAUGGCCGCCGCUGGCAGCCCGGGGCAUGGCUCGGCGCGGGGGUCCCCGGGCCCUCGGGGUGCCUGGGGGCCCGCCGGGGAUGCGGCUGGGCCGGGCUGCGCAGGCUGCAGCGGCGGCGGCGGUGGCGGGGACAGCGGCGGCGGGGACUCGGGCUGCUGCGGUGGUGGCGCCGGCUGCUGCUUGCUGGCCCCCUGGCGCCGGGGGAAGGACGAGACGCAGACUGAGCUCAGCAUUGGACAGGGGGCGGGCCGGAGGGGGCAGGGCAGAGAGGGGCGGGGCUCGGGAGGAGAGAUGGACGUGAUUGGGUGGGAGGAGGCGAUGACUAGGAGGGCCGGGCCUGGAGGGUGCAGAGACUGACGCGAUUGGGUGGGAAAAGGCGAUAGAAUGGGGGGGUGGGGCCUCCGUGGGAGAGGAUCAGAGAUGAUUGGCCUGAGGGGUGAGUGGGUGUGGCUGAGGUCUGGAAGGGGGGGCUGGGUCUCUAAUACAGCCUGAAAGGGGGGGCACGAGUGAGGCUCCCCAAUUGGAUGUUUCGGGUGAAGGGCGGGGCGUCAAAGGGUCGCUAACGCUAUCUGGGCGAAACAGGGGAGGGAGAAAGGAGAAAGCGGAGCGAGGUAAGUGAAAGAGACCUGAGAGAAGCAGAAAAAAAGGGGAGCCGGGCUGGCCGGGAAGGUAAGGGCCACGAUGAGAGAAGCUGAUCGGAUUGCACUAAGAAGGGGCCCUAGGGGAGUAAGUUUGCACACCUGGACCUAAAGCCCUGGCAGACAGGACCGUGUGCAGGGGCAGGGGGAGAGGACGGAGUCGAGCUAACAUUGGACGGAUCAGAGCCGAGGACAGUAGAAGGGGCACUGAUUGGACUGGGACAAGGAAGGCGGGACUGAGCCAGGGGCGGGAACUAUGGACAGAAUGGGGCCAGGCCGGACUGAAAAGGGCCACGACUAAGGGGAAGAGACUGAGAUCCGGUGAGAAGGGGCAGGACUGAGGCUAAGGACAGGGCUAAGGGAGGGACUGAGGCUGCAAGCUAGGCCUGGCUACACCGGGCUUAGCCGGGAGAAGGACAGUCCCAAAGGAUGGGAAGAGACGGAGCUGGAUGGGCGAGGACUGCAGAGGGCAGAAAACAUCUGGAAUGGUCUGUAGGAGAGGGUGAAGGGGGAGCUAGAGGAAAAAGUGAGCGCUGGACGGACAGCAAGGACCUGGAACGGAGAGAUCUUGGGACAGGGCCCUAAGGGUCCACGGGGCCUUAGGGACCGGGGCAAGGACCAACAGGUGGACCAAAGGAAAGUGGGGGAGGUAGGGUGUCAGAGAGGCCCAGAGGGGGCUCGAGUCGGCGAGUUAGGGGCGGGGCCAGGACCAGGCGGCCCACCUCCGAACGGGCCGGCCCCGCCCCCAGGGCGGUCCGAGGCGCUGGGAAGCAAUGCGCAGAAGCAGGGGCUGGGGCUGGGUCAGCGGCUGCAGCGGAGGCUGCGGCGGGGAUGGGGCGAUCCGCGGACUGGCGAUGGGGGGAGGGGUGGCCCAGCCCGGCAGCUCUGGGCAGCGAGAGGCUGCGGAGGGGCAGUGACAUCACCGCCGGAGGAGGGGCUGCCCCGACUCCCCCUAACCCGGGGCCUUCAAGCUCCGCCUUUAUGGCAGACCCAGGGUCCCGGAAUCCAAAGGGGAGAGAAGAGGAACCGGAGACGAGACCAGUGGAAACGGCAUCCCUUUUCCUUAGAACAAGGGUUGGGAAAUCUUUCACUGAUUUCAACCACCACUCC
rnacentral:lncRNA from 1 species